GAUGAACGCUGGCGGCGUGCCUAAUACAUGCAAGUCGAGCGAACGGACGAGAAGCUUGCUUCUCUGAUGUUAGCGGCGGACGGGUGAGUAACACGUGGAUAACCUACCUAUAAGACUGGGAUAACUUCGGGAAACCGGAGCUAAUACCGGAUAAUAUUUUGAACCGCAUGGUUCAAAAGUGAAAGACGGUCUUGCUGUCACUGAUAGAUGGAUCCGCGCUGCAUUAGCUAGUUGGUAAGGUAACGGCUUACCAAGGCAACGAUGCAUAGCCGACCUGAGAGCGUGAUCGGCCACACUGGAACUGAGACACGGUCCAGACUCCUACGGGAGGCAGCAGUAGGGAGUCUUCCGCAAUGGGCGAAAGCCUGACGGAGCAACGCCGCGUGAGUGAUGAAGGUCUUCGGAUCGUAAAACUCUGUUAUUAGGGAAGAACAUAUGUGUAAGUAACUGUGCACAUCUUGACGGUACCUAAUCAGAAAGCCACGGCUAACUACGUG
rnacentral:rRNA from 1 species